UACAGAGGUCCCAAGCGUUGUUCGGAUUCACUGGGCGUAAAGGGCGCGUAGGUGGCUCACGCAAGCGUGCGGUGAAAGCCCGGGGCUCAACCCCGGGUCGGCCGUGCGGACUGCGGGCUCGAGCACUGUAGGGGCAGAUGGAAUUCCGGGUGUAGCGGUGGAAUGCGUAGAUAUCAGGAGGAACACCUAUUGCGAAGGCAGCUCGCUGGGACGUUACUGACGCUGAGACGCGAAAGCGUGGGGAGCAAACAGG
rnacentral:rRNA from 1 species